UGCAACUGGUGAUUCACUUGUGAACUGGAUUUGUGGAGUUGGUGUCAUGCCUGCUGGUGGAAGUGAAGCCAGACCGGUGGCAAACAUCAGUAACUCCUCCAGGGACACAGCUGUUAAUUUCUCUGGAAAAAAAAA